rnacentral:rRNA from 1 species
UUCGCCCUUGGUUGAUCCUGCCGGACCUGACUGCUAUCGGAUUGAUACUAAGCCAUGCGAGUCAUUGUAGUAAUACAAGGCAGACGGCUCAGUAACGCGUAGUCAACCUAACCUAUGGACGGGAAUAACCUCGGGAAACUGAGUAUAAUGCCCGAUAGAACAUUAUGCCUGGAAUGGUUUAUGUUCCAAAUGAUUUAUCGCCGUAGGAUGGGACUGCGGCCUAUCAGUUUGUUGGUGAGGUAAUGGCCCACCAAGACUAUUACAGGUACGGGCUCUGAGAGGAGUAGCCCGGAGAUGGGUACUGAGACACGGACCCAGGCCCUAUGGGGCGCAGCAGGCGAGAAAACUUUGCAAUGUGCGAAAGCACGACAAGGUUAAUCCGAGUGGUUUCUGCUAAAGGAACCUUUUGUUAGUCCUAGAAACACUAACGAAUAAGGGGUGGGCAAGUUCUGGUGUCAGCCGCCGCGGUAAAACCAGCACCUCAAGUGGUCAGGAUGAUUAUUGGGCCUAAAGCAUCCGUAGCCGGCUCUGUAAGUUUUCGGUUAAAUCUGUACGCUCAACGUACAGGCUGCCGGGAAUACUGCAGAGCUAGGGAGUGGGAGAGGUAGACGGUACUCGGUAGGAAGGGGUAAAAUCCUUUGAUCUAUUGAUGACCACCUGUGGCGAAGGCGGUCUACCAGAACACGUUCGACGGUGAGGGAUGAAAGCUGGGGGAGCAAACCGGAUUAGAUACCCGGGUAGUCCCAGGCUGUAACUAUGCAAACUCAGUGAUGCAUUGACUUGUGGUCAAUGCAG